GACGAACGCUGGCGGCGUGCUUAACACAUGCAAGUCGAACGGAAAGGCCCUGCUUUUGUGGGGUGCUCGAGUGGCGAACGGGUGAGUAACACGUGAGUAACCUGCACUUGACUUUGGGAUAACUUCAGGAAGCUGGGGCUAAUACCGGAUAGGAGCUCCUGCUGCAUGGUGGGGGUUGGAAAGUUUCGGCGGUUGGGGAUGGACUCGCGGCUUAUCAGCUCGUUGGUGGGGUAGUGGCUUACCAAGGCUUUGACGGGUAGCCGGCCUGAGAGGGUGACCGGCCACAUUGGGACUGAGAUACGGCCCAGACUCCUACGGGAGGCAGCAGUGGGGAAUAUUGCACAAUGGGCGGAAGCCUGAUGCAGCAACGCCGCGUGCGGGAUGACGGCCUUCGGGUUGUAAACCGCUUUCGCCUGUGACGAAGCGUGAGUGACGGUAAUGGGUAAAGAAGCACCGGCUAACUACGUG
rnacentral:rRNA from 1 species